rnacentral:rRNA from 1 species
CUCCUACGGGAGGCAGCAGUGGGGAAUAUUGCACAAUGGGGGAAACCCUGAUGCAGCAACGCCGCGUGAGUGAUGACGGCCUUCGGGUUGUAAAGCUCUGUCUUCAGGGACGAUAAUGACGGUACCUGAGGAGGAAGCUCCGGCUAACUACGUGCCAGCAGCCGCGGUAAUACGUAGGGAGCAAGCGUUAUCCGGAAUUAUUGGGUGUAAAGGGUGCGUAGACGGGACAGCAAGUUAGUUGUGAAAGCCCUCGGCUUAACUGAGGAACUGCAACUAAAACUAUUGUUCUUGAGUGCAGGAGAGGA